GGGUCUAAGGAGCUCCUAAUUUGUGGCCUAUUGUCUUCUCCUAUUCGGCUCGUUGAGGGUGUAACGGUGGGGUCGUGAAGAGACGAGGAGGGGGAGGGAGCGCCGGAGCGGAGGGGAGCGGCCUCGUAGUGGGCUUCUUGAACGGUUUUACCGCCAGCGGCGGUGUCGGUACCGCUACCGGUGGUGGAGGUGACGGCGGGUGCAACAAGGGCGUGACAAGAGGAAGGAAGUUGUCGCGGAGGCAGAGACGGGGUUUCGGGCAUAGAGGUGGAGGGCGGCGGAGGACGAGGGACAGAGGUACAAGAGGUGGGCCCUGCCAAGCCGGAGGAUGGUACUUCUCCUACUCCUUCCCCUCCGCCUCCUAAGACGCCUUCGGCGGAAGCCCCUGCUCCUGCUGCUCUUCGGCGUCGGCCUCCGCCACAGGAGAUGCCUCAAAGUCAAGCGCCGUGGUGGCCUCCCUAUGUAACUCGGCCGCGGUAAGCUGCUCAACGGCGGCCUUAGUGGUCUCCUGCACCGUCGUCGGAUGCUCAGCGAGAUGCCCGGCCGGAAGUCGCCGCUCAGCAACUACCCCUUGUUGCACAAGCUCCACUUUCACCACCUGGGGCAGCUGUACCUGGCCCUGGUCGCGGGGUUGCUGCUCAAGUCGCUCGCACAGCACGUCCAGUCGGCUCAGUGGUUCCAGCAGUUCCCACCCUCCGUUGAGAGGAUGGCGCGGGAUCAGCACCAGCCGCUGUACUUCCCCGUGCAACCACAACCGCAGCCGUUCCGGUUUCUUCAGAGUCUCCGGUAGUGGUUCCGACCGUACUUGCCGGCGGCGUUAGAGCAAUGUCACGGUGAUUGGUUCAUGACGUGGAAGGGCGUGUCUCGACUCCGCUUGAUACCUCGUCGUUUCCAGUACGACUCCGGACGAACGGGACCUAGACCACAGUGACGUCCACCUCGACACUCCCAACACGACCUCUACCGACCUCAACUUUUACGAGAACCCUUCGUCGACGCUUCGUUCUUAGGGGAGUUGUUACGUUCCCGAUGGCAGUUCCGCUGUGUCUACUACUCUGUCAAGAGUCUGCAACGACGUCUCGCACCUGAAGGUUACCUCCUCAAUACCUUUACUAUUUUGCUUUAGUAAGUUGACGGACUGUCUUAAGAAAAGAAAAAAGAGAUGACAUAAAGAACUCAAGCAAAAGACAACAUAGAUAUAUAACCCUAUUUAUCCCCACGUUUACCCCCAUGGGAAACCCCCAUGAGAUACACUGAAGACUUUUAAAUCAAGUGAACGAACUUGAUUCCACCCAGUCUGAAACGUAUGCAUACCUGUUAACAAGCAGUUCAAAAGAAGGAAUUAGAGGAGACCGUAACAUCUUUUAAUUCAACCAGAGGGUUAUGUACAUCGUUUAGAUCUUUUAACAAGAAAAAAGACCAAUGACUCAAACAAUGUCUAACUAUUUCGUACUUGUUCUUAUACUUGACCCGUAGCACUACGAUAGGGGCGAGACGUGACGGUCUUCUUCGUGUGUUAUAAAAAACCGAUAAUAAUAAUGUAGCGGAGGACU
rnacentral:rRNA from 1 species